UGUCAAAUUAUAGUCAAAACAGCAUUUUUAUUUUUGGUCAAGGAAAGGGAUAGUUGACUAAAGUCAAUGAUCGAAACUCACCAUUCUCGAUCUAUCGGUCUUCCUCUCCACUCCCCUUUUCUCCAGUCUUCUCUUCCUCUUCUUCACUCCCCUUUUCUGCGUCCCCCCACGCCCAAGUCAUCUCUGUUGUCACAUUUACCUUUGAUUUCACAUCAUGCCUUUCUCUAUUUCGGAUAGCCAAAGGUUGAUUCUUCUUCUGGAAGUUGCUGAGAUGAAAGGCAUCGAGAAACUCCUCCCAGCGAGCACUUGCUCGUGUAGCCUUGCUAGGAGUUGGUCAGAUCUCAUCUAACCUACUCCAUCAAACUCUGCUGCGGUGUCUGUGAUUCUCGUCUCAAGUCUUUCUCCUUCACCCCAUCCGAGGGAGACUUGGACAUUUAGUGCCCCUAUUGUGAUGAAGGGGAGCGUCCAAAUGUGGGAAAGCUCCGAAUUUUAAGGAGAGGAGAGGAAGCGGUGAAGCCAGGCGAGCUGAAGAAAGCUCUCCUCGAAGUGGAGCUCACCGUCUUAGGACGAGAAUCACAAACAUCGCAGCAGAGGUUGAUGGAGCAGGUCAGAUGAGGAUCUGACCAACUCUUUGAAAGGCUGCAUGAGCAGGUGCUCUUUGGAAGGAGUUUUUGGAUGACUUUCAUGUCAGAAAACUCAAGAAGGAGGAUCAAUCUUUGGCGAUCAGAAACAGAGAGGCAUGAUGUGAAAUCAAAGGUAAAUGUGAAAACAAAGAUGAAAUUCUGAAAUUAAUGGAAGGACAGGUGAAGAGGUGAAUAUGAAAACAGAGGUGAAAGCUGAAAUGGAGAGAUGUGGAACAAAGAGAAGUGAAGUCGUGCUUUAAUACUGCAAUGUGAGAGAGAGAGAGAGAGAGAGAGAGAGAGAGAGAAGGUUUGCUAUUUCCAUCACUUUCAUGUCAGAUUCUAGCUACAUAAAUGAAGCAUUGUGGUUUUUGGGUUUUGCUUUGAGUGAGCUGUGUUUAUGUUGCAGUUGUGCUGUGUUUUUUGGGUUAACAAGAAUUGCAUGACAAAUUUGUCACGCUAAAAGAUUUGAGAGACAACUGCAAGAUGGAACUGGAAACAGCAGUUGGAGUGCCCUCAAAGAGACUCUAGUGCAUUUCUGAUGAUUGUGCUAUUGUAAGAUUGUUGUUAGCUUCUGCCUACACGGGGUGCAUGUGCGCACGGUGUAUUCUUGUAUGGUUGUUUUAAAAAGUACUAUGUUCUUCACCAGUUUUCUUAAUAAGCUGUACUCUCUAAGAAAAUUUGUGUAAUAUCACUCUGACCAUGUUGUUGUAUGGACAUAAUCUCCCUUCUACCUUUAGCUUUUGGAUUGAUUUUAUAACUGUGGUUGUGAAUUUUGGUUAUGUAACAGGAUUUCAAUUUUAUCGAUUGUUGCUUUUUCUUUAUUAUGUUUAUUUUGAAUUUAGUCUGUUGUUUGAAGUCCCACUUCAUAUUGCCAGCCACAUAACGUGGUUGAAGAAAAUUACCAUCUUGUGACAUUAGAUUUGUGGUAUCCUGGCUCUUGUAAUGCUUUUCCUAUUGUAUGCGUCAUAGCUAGUAUCACUGUCACUCCUUAUCCUCAGCUUAGCUAAGUCUAUAAGAUAUUUAUAUCAGGGACUGCGAUCUUUUCACUAUCUGUUAAAUAUUGACUUUUUGCUUUUGGGGGCUUAUUGUGAUUUGAGAGACAGUAAUGUGCAUCUGAUGCUUGCCUUAUUGUAAGAUUGUUGUCGUUUCAGAUUGUGCCUACUUGUGCAUGUGUGCAAAUGCACAAGUGUAUUCUUGUGUUGUUCUGAGGAUUAUAUAGUGUUCUCACCAUUUGUAUUCUUGUGUGCUUAUCAGCGAAUUUGUGUACUAUCACUUCGAUCACCUGUUGCAGGGACAUACAUAAUCUCCCUGCUGUGAAGGAUUACUUUGCCUUCAGUCUACUGUCAUUUUUGUUCCUGUGGAUUUCUGGUGGCAGCACCUUUGGAUCUUUGUAGUUUUUCUUGAUGAUUAAAUCUUCGCAAGUUGUUCCAGACAGCUCUUCAGCAUGUUUUCCCAUAAUGACAGCGGUGCUUUCAUCAAAUUCAUAUUGUAUAAUUACGGUUACUCUGAAGCUGCGUGAAUAAAGGAAUAGAAGUGUGGAAAAUAGUGAUGGUGAAGUUCAAUGUUCAUACAUCGUAAUGGACAUGAGAAGAUGUAUCUGUCUUUGCACAUAAAUUUCAUAAGUCAAGAAUAUAAGGGCCUAUGGUAUUAGAAGGGGUAUAUUGUACUAUUUAGUGAAACAUUGUUGAAGCAAAUUUGUAAUACAAAAUAUAUAAAGACAUAUUGGCACAGAAUACCUAAUGUGAAAGAAUUUAUAAGAAUCUCUCCCUCUCUCUCUCUCUCUCUCUCUCUCUCUGUGUAAAGGGGCUGUUACAUUUCAUCAUCAGGGCAUAUUAACAGCUAACUCUGUGGUUGUUGCCUCAUCUGCUUU